UGGCAGGCAGAACAGGCAGAGCCUCAGUGGAUCAUUCUUGGUCAAUUCUGCACUUUUUUUCAACCAAAUCUACUUGCCUCGAGGGGAAGCGUCCCAAGGACCAAAAGCAGACCUCAGGCCUCUCUGCAAACCUCCAGGUGGGCAUAGUCAUUGCUGGCACUUCAGAGAGGGGGACCCUCAUGCUGCUGGGUCAUACUGUACAGCCCAGAGGGACAAAGUGGCCAAGAAUGGAGUCAAAGAAGAGCUCAAGAGUAGAACCAAAGAGAAGCUCAAGUCUUGCAGUUCUCCUUGCAGCUGGGGAAGACACUGCUCCAGGUUUGACAUCCCAUGUACCACCUUAGACACAUGCUUCUGGUUAGCGCAGAGCUAGAGUGGACCCCGUGACAUGGGUGAGGCUGAUCAGACCCUGGCAGAAGUCCUAAAGGAAACGUGGAAGAGUUUCUUGAUAAAGGAACAAGCGCGGCUACCGCCAUUCUCUUUCCCUUCCUUCUCUCUUUGAACACACACACCACACCUGUGGCUGCUUUUCUGCUAGAACGUUCCACCAGGAUGGAAAAUUCCACAUCUGCACUGGGCCACCGCGGUAGUCACUGCACCUGGGAACUGGAUUAUUUUUCAUUUUCAUUUUGAAUCAUCUACAUUUAAAUUUAAAUGGCCACCUGUGUUUAGCAGCACCCUUCUUGGGCCAGGGCUACAGAAUCACUCAAUCUCUGGCUCUGAGGUUGAGCUCUCUCUCUCUCCAGACUCCUUCUAAUAUAAGAUAAAUAAAUCACUCCUUUUAAUCCGCCAUGAAUCAGGUUUCUGGGACCUGCAGUUAAAUGUAUUCUAACUGAUACUGCCAGGGGGAGACUAGGAGGCCCAGGGCAGAAAGGAGCGGGAAGCCAAUUCCUCUACCCUCCGACACAAACUUCUCUGAUUAAAGGCACUCAGUUCUCACCCAGCCAAGGUGGGGGUAGCUGAGAGUCUAGGGCCAAAGUGAAGUGUGGAGCAAGAGGUGCCCGGCACCCCCAUGUCCCAGCAUGGGUCCUUUCCCUGCCACACCCACCUCUCGGGCAAGCCACGUCCUGCCGCCUCGGACAUGCUCAUCCCCGUGCGACCAUGGAGGACGAGGGAGCCUCUCCUGCCUCGCUCAGCGAGCCAUCUCAGGGCUCAGCUCAGAAUGGACGCUAACACAUUUUGUAAACAGUGAAGUGCCGGUGAGGAGAUUCCUGGGGAACACCAUCCCAGAAAAGACUAGAACCUCAGAGAGUCCACCACCUGCUAGGACAGGCAAGGACUGCUGGCAUAGUGCUCUGGUUGGCUCCUGAGGCCUGGACUUGGUGGUCAGCUGGGAGAGUCCCACCAGCCUUGGCGAGGGCCACGUGGGGGCGUGACCAGAGGGCUCAGAUCUCGUGGAUCAGCAGGGAGCAGGAACAAGUACUGGCCCCUUGAGUGACCAUCUCGGUGGGUACCUGGAUUGACUGUGGAUCGGUUCCCUGAACACCGGUCACAUGACUGAAGCCUCACCCCUGCCCCACGGUAGGAAGUUCUACCCCCUAGUCACACGGGGUCAGACGUGAGCACAGAGGUCCGCAGGAGGCCAGCAGAGCUUCUGGGAUCUCUUAGAAGGAGGGAGCUGGCAGAAUGGUUCCUUCCAGGAAAUGCAGAGAGAACCUCAGAGGCCCAGAGUGAGGGCACCCCUCAGAGGAGCAGAAGCUUGCGGAGCUCACCAGGGAGAGGACAGGGUGGGAAGCAGUUUGGUCCAGUAAAGCAGACUCCAGGCUAAAGAAUGGAGCAGUGUCGGUCCACCUGACACAGGAAUCUAGGGACACAGAGAAAACACCGAGGCUCAAAAGAAAAAUGUCCAUGAAUCACUGAAAGGCAGAACAAGCAACCCCAGCCACAUCCUUGCCCCUGAGGUGCUGCUGCCCACAACUAGCACCAAAACCUGCGAGAUGACCAGAGGGCACCUGGAGGCACCACUCCUUGGGCUCCUUAGGGAGCAGAUGUAUGAAAGACAGGCGACCCAAAGUUAUCCUUGCUUCGUUGUAAUAGUAAGAUGCCACCCUCAGGUGGGGAUUUGAGGUGCUAAUGAGACUCGAGAUGCAGAAAGUAGCAUGAAUAGAACAUUCGAGAACAGUGGGUAACCACAAGGAAAACUGGGGCGACACCAUGUCACCCUGCCCUGACCGACUUUAGCUCAGCGCCCCCAGCUACUUUAUAAAUAUUAGAACCCCAGAUUGGGAUGGAGUGACUCUCUUUCUCUGAGGUCACCCACAUUCCCAUUCUCGAGUUAGUACUUUCCCCUUUGUAAUAAAUCUCCUGCCUGCUCUUCA